rnacentral:rRNA from 1 species
ACGCUCGACACCUACGGGGGGCAGCAGUUAGGAAUAUUCGUCAAUGGGGGAAACCCGUGAACGAGCAAUGCCGCGUGUGUGAUGAAGGCCCUCUGGGUUGUAAAGCACUGUUGUUUGGAAAGAAUGAUAUGAUUAGGAAAUGAGUCAUAUUUGACGGUACCAUUCAAGAAAGCCACGGCUAACUACGUGCCAGCAGCCGCGGUAAUCUGAGCGGGCUGGCAAGGC